rnacentral:rRNA from 1 species
GAUGAACGCUAGCGGCAGGCUUAAUACAUGCAAGUCGAGCGGGGUUUUCGGACCUAGCGGCGGACGGGUGAGUAAUGCGUAGGAAGCUACCCGAUAGAGGGGGAUACCAGUUGGAAACGACUGUUAAUACCGCAUAAUGUCUACGGACCAAAGUGUGGGACCUUCGGGCCACAUGCUAUCGGAUGCGCCUACGUGGGAUUAGCUAGUUGGUGAGGUAAUGGCUCACCAAGGCGACGAUCCCUAGCUGGUUUGAGAGGAUGAUCAGCCACACUGGAACUGAGACACGGUCCAGACUCCUACGGGAGGCAGCAGUGGGGAAUAUUGGACAAUGGGCGCAAGCCUGAUCCAGCCAUGCCGCGUGUGUGAAGAAGGCCUUCGGGUUGUAAAGCACUUUCAGUAGGGAGGAAGCGUUGUGUGUUAAUAGUAUACAGCGUUGACGUUACCUACAGAAGAAGCACCGGCUAACUCUGUGCCAGCCGCCGCCGUAACAC